GGCCAAGGAGAUUCCCUCUCCUAGGGGCCGCGCGGUGCCCCUCCUGGAACGUAGCUCCUUGGCAGAGCAGCGAGCGGGCUCACGGGGGACGGGGCCUGAUCCUCGCCCCUUCCGGCCAUCCACGC